AGAGAUGAACACCAUCCCUGGAGGUACUCAAGACCAGGCUGGAUGGGGCUUUGAUCCCCCUGAUCCAGUGGGAGGUGUUCUCUGUGGAACUGGAGGGGCUUUGAGGUCUCUUCCAAGCCAAACCUUUGCAUGAUUCUAUGAUUCUCUGCAGCUCCUCAGCCCUGGCUCUCCCCAGUUUCCCUGGCUGCUCAGCAGUGGGUUCGUAGUCUUGGUGCUCAUGCUUCUUCCCCUCCUGGUGCGUUCCCAACCUCUGUAGCUUCCAUAGUCUGCUCUCAUUCCCAGAUGAGCCUGUUUUGGGUCAGUGCUGCAACCUGUUUUGGGACAGUGUUGGAACUCAUUCCCGAAGCUCAGGCAGCAGGAAUGCAGUCGUGGGUGAGGAAGAGGAUGGGCAGUUCUGUGUCAGUUGCCACCCGGAGCAGCUGGUGGAGCCAUCAAUCCUUGGCAUGUUCCCUUUCUGAAGGGAAAGCCUCCCUAGUUGGAAACCUCUGGUUCCCAAAGGGACAAACAAAUAAAUGGCUUGUGUUCAAGGGCUCAGAAACACUCAAAUCUGGUAGAAUUUGCAUGAGCCUCACUAGAGGAAUCAAUGAAAGAUGCUAUGGGAUUCUUUACAAUGUCUUGUAGGUGAUGGCUGCUGCUGUUAAGUCCUCGAGCUGCGAGGAGGAACAGCUUCUGAAUGAGAAAGAAAUUGUGACCUGGAAGCCCAGAAAAGAAUGUUUGCUGAAGAAUACUCUUGAUAGCAAGUCUGAAGAAAGUGAAUUCUCUGCUGUCUCUCACAAUGGCAACGAUGUCAGCGGCUCUCCUGUUGAUUAUGUUUAUAUACAUCCUGACCUGCAAGACUUGAGUGGUGAUGUCUCCAGUAUGCCUGAGGCUGUAACUUCUCCAGAGCCGCAAACUGCUGCUGCAUGUGAGGUGGAAGACUGGGAUAAAGAAUUGGAGGCGUUUGAAUGUAGUUGUUAUGGGAGGCCCGAGCCUUUCAUACAGAGGCCCAUCCUGUGAACUUGAAGGAUUCCAGCCCAGCCCUUCACAAGCUGCCAUCCCUGUAGGAGCCACCGCUGUGUUGCUGCAGAGGGAAUGCAGGUCUUGACCACACACACAGGACCUCUGCCUUGAACUUUGCGCCUCGGACUUCAGCUUUGUGAGCCCUUCGAUGGCCCUUCUGCAGCUGCACGAGGCCACACACAGUCGCACGUCUCUGCCGGGAGGUGACAGGCACAGCGCUGGCACUGGAUCUGUGAAUACAUCUCCUCUGCAAAGUCAAACAGGUGAGCAUAAUCCACUGGUAGCUGAAGCGCUUUUGUUUGGCUUAGCAAUAGCCCUGAGCGGGAAAGAAGCGUGUGCAGGUGGUCUCAGGAGAGGGGGAUCACCUGCAGCUCCUCCUAAGCUCUUUCACACAGAGCAAGAAGCCUUGUCCCGAUGUGCCGGCUCUCCAGGAGCCAAAAGGGCCAUGGAGUCAGUGCAGAAGGGGCUCAAAAGGGUGUCUUUCUGAUUUGGUAUGACUGAUAGGUGAUGUUGCAGAGCCUGAGAUUGCCAGAGAGUUAGACAUACCACAAACUGAAUGCAGCAUUGUGGAAUGUCAAUCCCUCACUCCCCUGAGCGAUCCCAGCUGGAAAGGCUUUCCAGGACAAAUGGAGAUGUGGCCCCUGGACUUGUUAUUACGAUUGCAAACAAGCCUCAGGCAUCCAAGCUCUGACCUCUUUGACCAGUUGCUAUGUGCUUCUGAAGAUGCUCUGCUGCCUUUUCACUAGAAAGCAAAAGCAGUUUUGUGCCCAACAGGCAAUAGAUUCUGCUCUGUUUUUUGUUGUUGUUGCUCUCCUCCGUUGCCUUCCCUGCAAAGGGAGGGCGGAGGGGUGGUGAAGCCUGUGGGUUUUAAGGAGACACCAUCUCUUUUAUGUGGAGUUGUGGGGUUUUUUUUCAAGGCCAAAAAUAAAUGCUAGUGAAGGAAUAAACAGACGUGAAAAGAAGACACGGACACUUGGAAGACAAGACUGCUUUGUGCUUCCCAAGCAAAGAGCCUGUUCACAAGGAGGUCAGUCUUAGAAAAACACGAGUCCUGUGACACUGCCGAGGUCAGUAGAUGCUCAGCAGAGCAGUGGACUUUCAAGGCAGACAUGCUUUGUGAGAGAGGCAUGUUCUUCUUCUUCUCCAAGGUAUUUUCAAGUAUAUUGAGGAGAGAAGAGAGAAAUGGAUAGGAAUUUCCUUUGCUCUGCUUUGCUCUUUCAUUUCUUUCUACAGGGUUUGAAGAUGCACCAGUUGGUCAGUGGAAGACAGCUUCCAUCAAUCUAGGAAGGUAUCAAGACCUUAGUGCUGCGGUAGCAUCACUCUCACGCUGUCUGGGGAAGCGAGGGCGGUGCUGCUGCCGUUCUGCAGCUGAGGAAGCAGGUGAAGUGAGGACACGUGCCACAGGCAGGAUCCCCGAGUGAUACUCAAGGGAGUGGAGAAAUCAUUGAGCAGGUAGGUGGCCACCGCUAAGGUUCAAACGCACAUUCAAGACAGAUAUCCUAUGUGAUUGUAAGGCCUGGAUUUUUAGAGGGGUUUAGGUGGCUGACAUGUUUUUUCCAAAGUGUUUUGAGGGCAGGACUCCUCUUUCCUAAUGCUGGCCUAGUACUGCCAGUCUCAGGUAGGUCUUUGUUGCCCGCCAGCUGCAUUCCUCGUACAAUGCAGUAUCUUCCGAGAUGUGAUCUUCAGGCACUUUGUUUUUCAGUUGUCCGUAAAAUGAAAAUGUGUGUUAAUACAGAGAAGUGUUAUGGUGAUAUGGAGUCUCAUGCACAGAGAAAGGCAAAUACAAUUCUUUUAUGGCCUCUAAAGCACUAAGCUAUGAGUCAUCCAGAGCCUCUGAGGACUCUAGUUAAGAAACAGGAGCUUUUAAAUGCACCUUAUUAGGGCUGAAUCUCCAGCGCUGUCUGUAGUCACACACCAAAUAUAUCCAAUUCAAAAAAAGAUAAAUGUUGAGAAAUUAGGGGAACUAAUUAGUGGAAUCAACUGCACUGAGGAGCAGAGGGGUUGAAUGUGAUGGAAACUGGAUACCAAAACUAGCUGGAACACGCAGGAAGACAAGCCCUGAAGGGAAACACUCCAAAGCCAGUGGGAUAACUAACUAGCCCCAAACACAUGAGGGGAGUUAACUGAGUGCAAGCCAGGAAUGGGCAGAAGAUCCGAUCAGUGAGAGAAUGUUCAGUUCACAUGCGGCCAGGGAUUGAAAUCAGAUGUCUGGAGGGGAACAACUGCAGGGAAUGACUGCCUGCUCGGCUCUUUGGUGGAGCACAUCACCCCUGCCACAGGGCUGACUAAGCAGCUUAUGCAGCAGGUCCCAAACAGCCAUCAUGCCAGUGGCAUGUUCAGUCCAGCAGUUCUGGACCUGCUUUAUAAUCUGUUGUGUCAACUUUGCCACAAGGGUGGCAAGAAAUUGGUGGGGCAGAAGACUGGAGGCAGUAUUUGCCACAGUCACAUGAUUUUUAAUUUACUGAGGACAGGAAGAGUAGAGGUAGACUGAUAAACGUCAAAAGUUGUGAAUUAGACAUUGAAAAGGGAAUUCAACAGAUGGCAGAAAGUUUCAGCUGGAUAAAUACAAAAGAGAAAAAGAGGAGAAAUGUGGUCAUUAUGUACUGAGAACAGGGUUGAGAUUAGACCAGUCUACACAUGGUCUAGAAAUGAAUUAGAACCACUUUGUCUACAUUUUCAGUAGGGAUGAUCGUAUUGAACAGCAGAGCAAAGACAAGAUUUCCAGUAGGAACAUACGUAAGAUUUUCAGUAGGAAAGAGAAUAAGAGAAUGAAAGUUAUCGCAUGUAAGACAGAAGGAAAAGCUUAAAGAAUUCAGUGUGCUCAAAUCAAGGUACACUGGCAGAUUUCCAUCCCAGGAUUUGGAAAGAACUGGCACAUUAAAGGAGCUCAGCUUAACCUCAUAUUUCUCUUUGAUGACUGAAUUUAUUUUUCUAGACAAAUGAAAUACAGGUGAUUUGCUCUAUCCAAACUUGAGUGAUGAAUCUGGUAUUACACCACAUGGGAAAUUACUGGUUGAAGUUGAGAAGAUGAGGAUUAGUGGGGAUGGUGAAUGCAGGACGGCUAAAGCAAAUGCCAAGGAGCUCUGUGGAAAGGAGAAACGCUGGGCAGAGGCAGUUAAUAAGCGGAACUCCUCAAGGGUCAGUCUUCAGCUCUGUCUUGUUUUGUUAAUGACUCUGGCACAGCAGUAGGAAUGUAGUAAAGAAAUCUGCUGAGGACACGGGCUUUGUUAAUACAGAGGAGGAUCAGAACAUCAAUCAGCAAUAACUGAAUGACAGAAUUUGUCUGAAACAGAAUAGACAAAGUCUAAAGACAUGCAGUUAGAAAUUAAUAACUGGAAUAUCACAUUACUCACUUGAGAAUGACAAAAGCAGGGUGGUGGAAAAAAACAUAGAUAAUUACUUGCUCCAAGGGAUAACUGAGAGCCACCGAUCUGAUAUGGAAAGGCAAACACAAUCCUAGAAGAUACAGGUUCACUCAUGUUCAAGGAAGAUUAGCAGGUACAGAGAAGGGCACUAAGGAUGAUCAGAGGGUUUAGAACAAGAGGAGACUAGAAGAGCUUCAUUUGUUUAGUUUCUCAAAACAAAGACUAGAGGAGAUAGGAUUGUUUUCAGUAAAUACAUCUGAUAGGUAAAGAUCAGAGAAAAAAGAGAAUUGUUUAAACUAAAUUACGAUGCUGGCACACGAACAAAUGAUGUUAAGGCUGGAAAUUUAAAAUGAAGUGCUGGAAUAGCCUGCCAAAAAGCGUGAUAUGAUGUAAUUGACUGUAAUAGUGGGAGACUGGAUCAGUAAUCCAGAGCCUUGUGUUCCUAGAUAACUUUUUUAUGGGUAGGGAGUCAGCCCUGGUGAUGCUUUCGUGCAGGGAAUUGAAAGGAAUGGCCUAGGCCAACACCACAAACGUGAUCCCAGCAACAAAGUGCAGUAAGCGACUGAGACUCAUGUCGCCCCUAUCCAGUACUGAUCUCUAACUAUGCAAGCUAUGGCAAAGCACGUGUGGUGAAGUGCUGGCUGUAUUGUAGAAACACUGCCACUGAAGCAUUUUUUUGUGGGUUUGAGCUCUUUCUUUCUACCCAUUUUUCUUUUCACCAUCUUUCACCUUGAAAGCCUGAGACUACAUGGUUGAAACUACAUCUUCAGCGUCGCUGCCUGGUCUCCUGGUCUCUGCUUAGCUCUCGCUGGGAGCUGGAAGCAGGCGAUGUGCUCGGCUCCCAGAGCCUUUCCUCUUCUGGUGUCACGUCACCCAAAGCUCACAGCCAAGGGGCAAUGCUGUGCAUCCUCAGAGAAAAACGUGCAGCAGGCAGGGGUUUGGCAGAGUGGAUGCUGGCCUUGAACAAGCACCUCGGUGAUGACAUUUGCCGAUAGAUACAUGCCACAGUGCCCGUGUGGCAGCAGGAGUUCCCCCGACCUCGCGGCACUGAGCCGGUGAUCCCGUGGACCCCUCGAGAUGGCUGGGAAUGACAGCCAGUGCCCCCAGGACUGCUCCGCUCUUGGCACAGGCUGGGAGCCCAGAGCUAGGAGCCUUGUGCUGCUAGUGCGAGUGUGAGGAAGUAUAACUGGCCAGUCAUCAGGUUUGGAAAAGCGGGGGAAAUAGGAGGCUGAUAACAAAGCUUUUAUUUCAACAGCUGAAGGGAGGUCCUUCCCUCCUCCUCCCCUUAUGGGAACUGGCAAACUCAGCUCUUUAAUGUUUCGAGCUCAUCUCAGCCUUGCCUAUAAAUAGAUAAAUGAGAUUCCUCCUGUCCCAGUGAGUAAUUCUGACAUCCUCCCGUUGCCUCGCAGAGAGCUGAGUCACAGGCACUCUGCACUCUAGUCCCUGCAUUACUUACAUGGUCUCAAAGGAAAUUUUAACACAUCCAAUGAAUCAUCAGGGAUUGGAUCAUGUUUAAAGUUAUUCCAUUGGCAUUUCCCUUCUAUUGUAGCGAGUCUGCCAGUACUUAAAACUUUAGCUAAUCUGGACUCAAAAUGCAUUGAGGAAAUAGCAUGUUGACAUAAACAGCUACUAAUAAAAAAUAAUAAAAAAGGUCCUUUUAAAUCUGCAUCAAUAAAUAAGUGACCCUUAGUGGAUUCCUUUAGAGCUUUAGACUUGCUAAUUUUGUCAGGCUGCUUCCUUGUUUUGUAGCUGCUUAUUUAAAGGAAUGCAAAGUUUGAAAUGUUUUAAUACUCAGUCAUUAGGCCCCUAAUUUAAUCUCCCGCAGAUUUCCUGCCAAAAUAUUAUUUGCACUGAGAUGGAGCUCGCAGCUCUGUGCUCGUUCUCUCACAGAGACACACACAUUCCUGCUCUUACCCAUGGUAAAAAUAAAAUGCCUGCAAAGCAGAGACAAAACCAGAGCAGUGUUAAUAACAGAACGCAGGGCAGUAACACACUGCUGUACAGGGUGUUGAGCUGCAGCCUGAAUCAAUAUCUCCUGAUGGGACAUUUUCUCUUGUUACCUUCCCUUCUCCCAGAUGGUACAGUGUGGUCUGAUCAGCUUAGAGUCAACACAUCAUUUGAAAUCAGAGUACGGCUCUCUCUCCUCUCUCUGAAAACAGCUGGAAGAAUGGAAAAGUUCUCCAGCAGAAUUUGGGAGCUGUGAAACAAAUAUAAAAAUAUUUCUCUCCAUUGGUUUUCUGGCUCACCUUUCCCAUCUUAGAAUUGGUUGGGACGUUUCACUCAUUAUUGCCAGACUCUCAUUUUCAAUGAUCAAGGGAUGCUAACAUUUGCUGGUCCGCUACUGUGGUUUAGUAAUUAUAGACGGAAAAUCUGUCUUGUUCUUUUGAUAACCCUAGGAAACCUGUGUCUUAUUUAAAUAUCAAUUUUCUAGUACCUUCUCAUCAAGCAAUUCUCUGCCUGUGCAUACAUUGUUAAUGAGCAUUUGUUUAAUGCAUUCCAGUGUGAGUUGCCGUUGCUCCACGAGAUACUACGUCUUCUGGUCCAAGGCUCCUCGGGUUAUUUAUCAGCCCGGCACAGCUUUGGUUGCCAGUCUGCUGCCAGCUGUGAGCUAUACAACAGGGCUGGGGGAAAAAAUCAGUUCUGGCUCAGCGUGCAGAAUUGGAAAUAAUUCAACUACCUGUUGACAAAUGCUGAUUUAUUUAACAGCAUAAACUAUAAUAUUUUUAUAGCUGACAGGUUUCACCCUUGUCUGCAGCUGGAAGAGCCUGUGGAAUUCUCAGAAGUUCCUCACUUGUGUCUUUUUCAGUUUUCUUAUAGUAAUGCCUUGUUCUGCUGUCUCUGUGCAGGAAAAGACAUCCUUAAUGGGCAAAUCAGUGGUGUCAGCACGAUGCUGGAAUAGGGCGGCUGCAUUAAUUGGUGCCACUCGGCUCCCCGGUUGGCCUUUUUCCUGCAGCGGAAAACCCUGCUGGACGGUCAGGCCAUAGAGAUGCUCAAGGACAAGUCAGAGGCCUGAGAAGCAGCCAGCACUUCUGUAAAGCAUUAAUCACCCUGCGCGGGGCCGGGGGUGGGAAUGGGCAGAGGGUGCACUCUCCCUCAGCACGCACAUGUUUUCUAUCUAAGCUUUGUUUCAGCUGGAUCUUUCCCACUAGCGCAUCCUUCUUUAACACCUUGUACUCAUUUAAAGCGAGGCUGUUUAGCAGCACAAAUCAAUUAAGUACUGCAGAGACCCGCUGAGACAGACAGAGGUUCCUAUCUGUGGUUCAGCCAGGGUGGGAGGCACGCAGAGGUUAAGCCUGUAUUUUUUGCCACACAGCGAGUGAGGGUGGAGCGCUGAGCAGCCCCCGGCUCACAUCCUGCAUGGGUUCCAGCCUUCCCCAGCAUCCUCCGUGCAUGCCGAGCCCUCCCUGCUCACAGCUGAUGCAGCUUUGAGGGCUCUGUGAGCUGCUUCUCUGGCAUCAAAUCGGAGUGUGCCAGCUCUGCUGCCAUGCUCCCCUGGCCAGUCUUACCCUCCUGAUGGGGUCUCACUAAUGGGGUUAUUUCUCCAGGGCCUGCCUGAGCCCAUCCUGUCUCCUGGAGUGGGGACACGGUACAGUCAAGGUCUCCGAGUUCACCUCUAUGCAUCCUGCAGACUUCUCCAUCAGGAGGUUGCCUGCUCCUGCUGAGGAGAGUCACCGCUCGGUGGCCACUGGCCAGAGGGACAGGCAGGGGUUUAGGAAGCAGCACAGACACAAAAUGUGAACAAGAGGAGGCAGAAAAACCAGGCAGCUUAAAAAUAAUUGUUUGGAUAGUCUUGUUCCAGUUUAACGUGCAAGCGUGAGAGCUCACUGCAAUGUCUUCCGGCUGCCCCUCCUGCGGGAAGGCUGGCUGGGCAGAUACACCUCUGCUCUCCGCUUCAGGUUGAGUUAGAGCCACUCAAAGACACCACACAUUUCAGAAACAGGAGCAAAUUGUUCAAGCCAGAGUUGAUCCACAACAUAAAGGAAAACAAAACCUCACCAACCAGCUCCUGCUCAAGCCUUUAAAAUGUGCUUGGCCAAACUGUACUUCAUGAGUGCCUUGCUGGAGGGCCACAUUCUGUAGGACGUCCUCAGCUCACAGAAAGAGACCAUUAAUCAUUAGUAUGCCUUGGUCUCUGGCUAUUUUAAUCACUGUUGAAAUACACAUGCAGUUCCCACUCCUAAAAAUGGUAUUUGACUCCAAUGCACAUGAUUUCCUUUGGCUUCCUUUCCCCGAUUAAGAGCAAGCUGUAACGACUUGCAAGUACACACACUGCAAUCCAUAGAUUUGCUUCUCAUCUGUCACGAAGCAAAAAAAACACAGUACCACGUGCCGAAUGAGACCCGUAGCGGCAGGCGUAACUAUCAGAAUGUAGUGUGGUGACUGUUGUGCCUGCAGGCUGGUGGCCAAAAUCUGUCCUAUGGAAUGGAGUACUGGGAAUGUCAUUGGACCCUGCUGUAUCCUCAGUCCUUUUCCACUUCCUUAUGUAAUGAUUGGAAAUACCUCUCCUGUAUGCUGGCGCUGGUGAGGGGAUGUCGGUCUGUUGUGGGAGAAGUGAAUGAAUCAUCAGAAGUGGAUGAACUAGGAGUGUAUUUGUAAACUGUAGAAACCAGUACGUCUGUCUUUAAUUUUUCUUUUAAAAACACUGAACAAAAGUCACAGGAAAUUUAAGGAGAAACUAAAAGGCUCAGCCACGGAUUCAGGAGCGCAGUGAAGCCUGGUACUUCUCAGCUUCUCUCAUGAGGCAAAUGAGCAGCCUGAGGAGUCUGGGGGUGUGUGUGGAGGAAACUUCACUGCCUUCCCUUAACUGCAGACUAAUAAAUAAAUGCAUCAUCCCCAUCUCCAUGGGCUUACCCUAAUUUACAGGCUGGAUUGCUCCUGUGAAUUUCUGUAUGCAUUCUCUGUCUAUGAACAUGCUGCUAUUGAGCUUAAAGAACCCAUCUGAGUUUACAUAAAGAGAGAAUAAGUGAAGUUUACAGGAAUGCGAACUUAAAAAAAAAAAGUAGGGGAAGUUUUGCAGGUACAGUAGUCAUCAAGGAUGGCUUCAGUAUUUGUCACACUGCGUCAGGUCUUGGACACCAUGACAAAUAGUUGAGAGGACUGCUACCAAUUAUAAUUUGGGAUUUAACUCAUUACACCUGACAGCAUUAAUCAUGUGUUGUACCAUGAUCUUUUUUUAUUGUAUCCUUAAUAGUCAGGAAAGAAUACAUUUUUUUCCUUCUUCUUUUUUUCCAAAGCUGCAUAAAGCAGCCUCAGUAAUGAGCGGACUUUCAGUCUGCUGGGCUUUCAGAUUAGGAUGACAGUCCUGCUCCAGUGACAUGAAGUUUUCAAACUUGCUGCUGCGGGGAAAGGCACACACACACACGUCACCCUAUGCUAUGCCAGCUGAUGAGUUUGUGUGCUUGAGACUCGGACAAGUCUGUUCACUUUGCUGGGAGAUUGUUUUGGUUUUCCUCAUUUAAAAUUACCAAAUAUCAACCUUCGAACCCCAGGCAAUACAAGCGGGUGACAGAAGAUGGUCCAGCUCUUCUGAAGGCUGCCUCAGCCAUCCCACUGCUGUAGUCACUGUUUCUGUUCCACCAACUCCUGCAAAAGUUCUCCUAAUUAAACACAGCUAAUUCAAAAGUCAAAUCCCAACAAUGACCUGCUAAAGCUAAGAGUUCCUUGAGAAGCUGGAUGUCUUCAGUCUUACUGAAAAUGAAAUGGUUAAUUAUGACAAAAGUAUGCUAAAAUAACCAUAUUUCCUCCAUGCAGCAGCUAUUAAUUAGAAACUACAGUGACCUACCAAAGGGCUUGAGAAAAGGAAAGCAACUAAUUUGCCUGCAAAAAUAUAUUUCCUGCACCGGUUUGAUUCUGCUUAUGUGGCUGACAUACAAUUUCUGCUCGACUGAAUCUACCACAUUAUUCUGGACAGGCGUUGUGCACUGAAAGCAGCUGAUAAUAUUACAGAGCAGUUCAGAAAGCAUCCCCUGCAGUGAGAGACUCCUUACAGCCUGGAACACUGGUACUUGAAAGACAUUAAUAGAAUUGCUUGUAGUUGAAGAGAAAUUUGAUUUUUUUUACCUUUUCCCCAUUGGGAUCUCACCCUUCGCUACUUCAGGUCUAGUCUCUGUGGGCUGUUGUAACACUAUUGCCAGUCUAGAUGCCAUGAAUCUUCCAAGGAUGUGCAAAGCAGCAUGAGUGGUGGCUCAAGUUUAGUUCAUCUGCUGUUAUCCUUUUUUUCAGGGAAAGAAUUGUGUGCAAGUACUUGGGGGGGGUUGAAUUCAGUAGGGUCUGUUUUAAUGUUCAUACUACUUAGUGUAGACUAAGAAACGCAACUCAGGGAAGUGUAGGGCAGUGUCUAGCUGCAACAGAAGCUGAUGGCAUCACCUAAGACUGAAAAUACCCAUGACUGCCUGCGUGUACUUUUCAAAAGACCUUUAUUUUAGGUAUUUCUGCAUUUUUCCAAACCAAACUGGAGGUGCUAAAUGACCCAGAACCUUCGAGAAAAACCCCAAACCAACGAAAAUAACAGCCAAAUGUGUCCUUGAAAUGGUAGUGGUUUGGCUUGGGCAGCAAGAAAUGGACUCACGUGCUGCUGAGAAUGUCCUAAGUGUUAAUGAGGAACUGGCAGGGCUGGCUCCCACCUGCAGGGUAUGCACAAGGGAUCUGGGAUAUAAGCCCCUGGCCACGUACCAAACAUCCCUGUCGACUUCUACUGCACCUACCUGCCACUCUGCCUGGCAGUACAGCACCUGGAGGGGACAUGCGCGACCUGUGUGACUGCGAGAACUGUUUUAGGAACAGAGAGGAUAAAAAUAACAGCAAAUCAUACUGCUCUCCUAUUCACCACAAGCAGUUACAUACAUGAAAAGUUUUGUCCACAGAGGCUGUACAAGAUGCGUAAGCAGGUACUUGCAGCUUGCCGCGAGAUAGAUGACACAAGGUUAUAAAGCGUUGGAACAGCUUGUCAGACAUUUAUGUAGGCAGAGUUCCCAUAGCGCGUAGAAAAAGAUCCAUUCAUCAGGGCCCUGGCUGCAGGAUGAACUGCAGGAGUUUGUGCACAUCCCCUGUUAGAGGCUCACACUCAUCCUUCUGACUUCAAAAUUCGUGAGUGGGUUCGCCUCACAGUGGCAGAGCUCAGAUAGGAAGAACCUGGGGAAGCAUAUUCCAGUAUUUGAAAGCAAAAAUGUGUUUAUUUUAACACAUAAAUAUUCUUAUUUUGUGUAAGGUGGUGAUACCAAAGAUAAAAAUGGUAACACAGAAACACAUCCAAAAAAAAGUUACAAACCCUUAUUCCUAGUCUUCCUGUUUUCAGCACAAAGAAUAUUCCACUGUUGCAGGUUGUUGCUCUGCAGACUGUUCGCAGUUGAGGUGGUUGGGUCCAGUUGGCUUGGUAGAUAUCAGAAUUGGAACAGAUUAAACUAAUUCCAUCCGCACAUCUUGCCAAGGAAACGUUCGAGCCCUUCCAUCCCAUUUCAGCAUCAGAUGAAGACGUGAGAGCUCCUCGAUGAAGAAAUCCUUGUGGAGAGGAGCAAAGGGGCUGGGGCUUCCUACGAUGGCGCAGUCUCAGAAAUUAAAGGUGUCAAAGCAGGAAGUCCCAAAACAAACAGUUCCAAAAGUGGCUCAGUUCUGGAAUCAGCCUGCAGGGAAGGACGUUCCCGGGCAGCCCUGUGGGCCCUUGAACAGCCCAAAUUGCUUUGUUCCCAGCUGGUUGAACAGUACCCAUCCUUAACUGAUAGUGAGGUGCCUUUCUUGUGUCCAUUGUCUCAUCUUAUCAGGUCACACAGUCACUGGGACAAGGAUUAGCUCUUAGGGCUUGCUUACACAGCAGAAUGGAUGAUUCCACAAUAGCUACGACACGAUGGCUUCAUGUGAACACACUCGCUCCACAGCAGCAGGUACAGCUCCUGAUUCACACCAUACCUCAACUGGAGCCACGUCAGGAUGUCGGUGUGCCUUACAAAGUUAAACGAGACCUGGGACUCAGUUCAGGGAUUGUUGUCACUUCGUGUUUACAGAGAAUUCAGCUUUAAGAAAAGCAGCUGAAAUGCUCCUGAGAAUAACAAAUAACAACUGAGUAAAUGUUGCUCCAGAGCCAACUCAAUUAAAAAUAGUGAAGACACUGAGACCUUUUCCCCAUUCCCAGUUAUAGCGAGGAAGAACAGGAGUGGCCGAGCGUCUCUGCAACCCUGCGAGUUGGCAGGAGCCCCAGGCAAGGACCAGGUCCCUGCGGCACUUGCUGUUUUACCAACAUGGAAGAAACUCUGAUGAGCCCUUGCCCCAGGGAGACCACAACCUCCCCAGCAGCCAGGACCGCACCACAAGCAGACAGAGCUAUGGAAAAGCAGGCACAACUACUUCUUUUACGACAAAGGAAAUCCCCGCACCAGCCAAGAGCUGCUUCUCGAGGCAGGCGUGUGACCCCUGCGCGCUGCCAGCAGGAGCAUCGCACGCUCGGGGAACACCCGUGCCCCAAGAUCACCCAAUGAAACCAUUUAACAUCAACAAGCCAAGAGAGUUCAAUUAGAGCAUAGCAUGUGCAAAUCGAUUUUCAACAACCAACUGCAAGCACACAGGGCUUGAUUACAAGAGAGGAGGCACGUGUCUCUGAAAGAGGCCUUCUUUGAGGAAGAAAACAGAUCCAAUAGUUGAUAAAGGUUUUGUCUGCUCCUCCUAACAAAUCCCAUCACAUGCUGUUUCUUGCCAGUACAUCCAUGAGAACUGCCUACACUGGCUGCCAGGGCACAGCAGAAAAGAGGAAAAAACGCGUCCCUGGGUCUCCUCACUCUUCUCAAAGCACUAAAAUAUGGGGACCUCGAACUUUUAUGCUAUCUGUGCCUACUGGCUUGUAUCCAGCCCUGAAUACCCAGAAGCUCCUUGCAGCAGUAAAAGUCACAGGACCACCACCCCCAGUUUGCUGAAUGUCAUUAAACUAAACAGGUUUGCCAACGUGAAGUUGAGCGAAGGCUCUUAAAACUGCUCAUAGUUGAGAGCCAUAAGAACAGGAUAGAGACACACAGUUCACUCACCAUAUUCAUUGAUCCCACAGCAAUCUGAUACAGGAGCAGCUCCACAGCCACCAGUGUAGGACCCAAACCCAUCAAGGACAUCUAAGAGUUGAGUGAAAUAUGUGCUUAAAAGCCUUGCUCUUUCCGUAAGUUGUAUGGGGAGCUGUAAGUCUCGGCAUCUGACUGGAAGUGCCCAGGUUUAUGAUUGC